CUUACCACAAGGCCUGCGUUCCUGACAGCCAGAGGUACCGAUGUUCCCCUCCUAACCCUAACCCUUACCACAAGGCCUGCGUUCCUGACAGCCAGAGGUAGGCCAAGCAGCCCUGUUCAGAUGUUCCCCUCCUAACCCUAACCCUUACCACAAGGCCUGCGUUCCUGACAGCCAGAGGUACCGAUGUUCCCCUCCUAACCCUAACCCUUACCACAAGGCCUGCGUUCCUGACAGCCAGAGGUACCGAUGUUCCCCUCCUAACCCUAACCCUUACCACAAGGCCUGCGUUCCGGACAGCCAGAGGUACCGAUGUUCCCCUCCUAACCCUAACCCUUACCACAAGGCC